AAUGGCCUUGCAGGCCCUGGGGAGGCUAAUUAGGCUUAUGGGCCACAGGUUCCCAAGCACUGACAAACCAUUUUUAUUUUCAGCACAAAUUCUUUAGAUUAAUACUGAGACCUGAAACCUGCAAGAAACAACUCCUUUAUGGCUGGACUGGAAGCAGCUGGUCAGGAACAGCGCCAAUUCUUGGGAGAAAAUUUGCUCAGGGAGCAUUGCUGUCCAUGCUUCGCUUUCAGCAUCUGCUGAGGAAGAAGUGGCUGGCGCCUUGUGUUCUGCUGUGUGAAACUGGGAGGAGCUGGCCUGCAAACACCUUAGCUGGGGGAGAACAGGUUCCCCAAAGGAGCAAGAGGCUUCAAUUUUGAGAAGCUCUUUUGGUCUAAGAAGUUUAACAGAGUGCAGUCCAGAGGAACACUGCUGGAGUGGUGUGAUAGAGACAAAGACGAGGCUUCAUUUGAUGUGGUAACAACGUGCCCCGAGCUCAGAUGAGGAACUUUGAUCUAGCAGAGGCUCCAGCUGGAGGAAGAAGGGUUUUCACGGACUCCAACAUCCUCCUGCAACCCCUAUGUCAUUUUCCACAGAGGAAUUGAGGGCACCUUGAUCUUUCAAGUGUACACUUGGCAUUCUGAGCAAGUAGUGAAAGGAUUUCAUUUAAUGGGCACCCAUACUAAAUUGGUAUGUGAAAGCAAGACAUAGGGCUAAUUCACGACAGUAUGAGCAUCACUUCCUCGUCACCCAGCACCUGAUGACUCACAACUUAAUGUGUGACCCAACUCCACUGGAAAGCACUGCGUCACAGUGAGGGUAUGAAAAUCCUGCUUCUGAUGUUUCAUCUGUGAUGGUUCAAUGGCAUAAAUACAAUCUGUAUUAUGGUAACAAAUUGAGGCUAUGAAGAAAGAUCACAGACCCAUUUCGGCUCUGCAGAUGUGUCAACAGGUGGGAAGAAAAGACUGUAUCUCUUGAAUUCUUUGCAGUCCCUUCUCAACUAUUGUGAACAGCAGGUGAGCAUAACUCAAUGGCUUGUGUAGCACACACUCACCAAACAAAGCAACUGUAUGAAAAAUUUCAAAGUGAGGUGACCAUAGUCAGAAUAGGAACAAUAGAAGGAAUCAUACACAUGAAAUAAAUGGUAACCACAGCUGGGAUAAAACGUUCCAAUUCAAGAGUAAAACUUGCACCGUUUCUAUUACCAAAGAGUAUAAUUAACAAAACUCAACAGGCAGCCAGUGAACUUGGCCAUUUUAUAAGCAACCAAAUUACUGAUGAGCUUUUCAGUGCCAAUUAUCAUUCAAUAAAAGCAAGAACAGAUUUUCAGUAUGCUUCUUAUAUAAAGAAUGCUCACUUCCUAGUUUUCUGAUUAUGCUAAAAAUAGCAUGAGUGGUUUUCUCGUGAUAUGCUGGAGAGGCAAAAGAAGCACGAGGGUUCUUUAUUCCAAGUAGAAACUCCUCCUAUUCAGUCUAAAUAUAUUAAAACUGCAUAUGGUUCUUUCCAAGACAACUUAGUAGCUGUAACAAUGCUUUAAUUCCUGGUGGCUCAACUGUCUUGGGAUUUUGAUUUAAAAAUAAAAAUACAGAAAUCAACAAAAGGGCCAGAGAAUGCACUCUGGUUUUUUUGAAGAGCGGAGAAGAGGCACGGGCUUCUUUCACUUUCUUAUACCUUCAAGCUUAACUGUGAUAAUUUAACCACACUGGAUUAAGUCGGGGAGAAGGAGGAAAGUUUGGCUGAGCAAAUGACUUCUGAUCCUAGUCAGAAGAGACAGAAGACAACAAUGAUCAUGGGUCAGGGCAUACAGGCCUUAGGAGAUCAUGCUAAUGCUUUCUGUAUUUUUAAAGCACAACUGAAUACAGAAGAAAAUAAUUUAAUAUUUUAAUGCUAAAUAACAUCCAGCAGUUAUUUCUCAAAGAAUAGCAUUUCAGGAUCACACACACAAGAUAAUUUGACGGCAGCAUGCUGAGGUGAAAGGGAUAAGAACAAUGUUUUCCAACAAGACAUAGCACAAUAUAAGCGCUUACCU